rnacentral:rRNA from 1 species
UACAGGGGGUGCAAACGUUGCUCGGAAUCAUUGGGCGUAAAGCGCACGUAGGCGGUUCGUUAUGUCGGAUGUGAAAGCCCUGGGCUUAACCGAGGAAGUGCAUCCGAAACUGGCGAGCUAGAGUACGAAAGAGGAUCGCGGAAUUCCCGGUGUAGAGGUGAAAUUCGUAGAUAUCGGGAGGAACACCGGUGGCGAAGGCGGCGAUCUGGGUCGAUACUGACGCUGAGGUGCGAAAGCGUGGGGAGCAAACAGG